rnacentral:rRNA from 1 species
CCUACGGGUGGCAGCAGUGAGGAAUAUUGGUCAAUGGCCGGAAGGCUGAACCAGCCAAGCCGCGUGAGGGAGGAAGGCGCAGAGCGUCGCAGACCUCUUUUGCCGGGGGACAAAAGGCCGGACUCGUCCGGUCCUGAGGGUACCCGGAGAAAAAGCAUCGGCUAACUCCGUGCCAGCAGCCGCGGUAAUACGGAGGAUGCGAGCGUUAUCCGGAUUUAUUGGGUUUAAAGGGUGCGCAGGCGGAAUGUCAAGUCAGCGGUAAAAUUUCGGGGCUCAACCCCGUCGUGCCGUUGAAAAUGGCGUUCUUGAGUGAGCGAGAAGUAUGCGGAAUGCGUGGUGUAGCGGUGAAAUGCAUAGAUAUCACGCAGAACUCCGAUUGCGAAGGCAGCAUACCGGCGCUCAACUGACGCUCAUGCACGAAAGCGUGGGUAUCGAACAGGAUUAGAUACCCGUGUAGUC